GCACCUGUAGCUCAGCCUGGAUAGAGUACGAGCCUUCUAAGUUCGGGGUCCAAGGUUCAAAUCCUUGCAGGUGCG
rnacentral:tRNA from 1 species